rnacentral:rRNA from 1 species
GACGAACGCUGGCGGCGUGCCUAAUACAUGCAAGUUGAGCGCUGAAGGUUGGUACUUGUACCGACUGGAUGAGCAGCGAACGGGUGAGUAACGCGUGGGGAAUCUGCCUUUGAGCGGGGGACAACAUUUGGAAACGAAUGCUAAUACCGCAUAAAAACUUUAAACACAAGUUUUAAGUUUGAAAGAUGCAAUUGCAUCACUCAAAGAUGAUCCCGCGUUGUAUUAGCUAGUUGGUGAGGUAAAGGCUCACCAAGGCGAUGAUACAUAGCCGACCUGAGAGGGUGGUCGGCCACAUUGGGACUGAGACACGGCCCAAACUCCUUCGGGAGGCAGCAGUAGGGGAUCUUCGGCAAUGGACGAAAGUCUGACCGAGCAACGCCGCGUGAGUGAAGAAGGUUUUCGGAUCGUAAAACUCUGUUGGUAGAGAAGAACGUUGGUGAGAGUGGAAAGCUCAUCAAGUGACGGUAACUACCCAGAAAGGGACGGCUAACUACGUG